AGCAGCCGCGGUAAUACGUAGGGUGCGAGCGUUGUCCGGAAUUAUUGGGCGUAAAGAGCUUGUAGGCGGUUUGUCGCGUCUGCCGUGAAAAUUCGAGGCUCAACCUCGAACUUGCGGUGGGUACGGGCAGACUAGAGUGUGGUAGGGGAGACUGGAAUUCCUGGUGUAGCGGUGAAAUGCGCAGAUAUCAGGAGGAACACCGAUGGCGAAGGCAGGUCUCUGGGCCACUACUGACGCUGAGAAGCGAAAGCAUGGGGAGCGAACAGG
rnacentral:rRNA from 1 species